AUACUUACCUGGACGGGGUCAAUGGGUGAUCAACAAGGCCCAUGGCCUAGGUUGAUGACUUCCAUUGCACUUUGGAAGGGUGUUAACCUAAGGUCUACCUUAAUGGUGGAGCCUACGUCAUAAUUUGUUAUAGAGGGGGCCUGUGUUCGCGCGGCCCCUAC
rfam:Ipomoea nil DNA, scaffold: scaffold1286, cultivar: Tokyo-kokei standard.